rnacentral:rRNA from 1 species
AGCGAACGCUGGCGGCAGGCCUAACACAUGCAAGUCGAACGGAUCCUUCGGGAUUAGUGGCGGACGGGUGAGUAACACGUGGGAACGUGCCCUUUGGUUCGGAACAACUCAGGGAAACUUGAGCUAAUACCGGAUGUGCCCUUCGGGGGAAAGAUUUAUCGCCAUUGGAGCGGCCCGCGUCUGAUUAGCUAGUUGGUGAGGUAAAGGCUCACCAAGGCGACGAUCAGUAGCUGGUCUGAGAGGAUGAUCAGCCACAUUGGGACUGAGACACGGCCCAAACUCCUACGGGAGGCAGCAGUGGGGAAUCUUGCGCAAUGGGCGAAAGCCUGACGCAGCCAUGCCGCGUGAAUGAUGAAGGUCUUAGGAUUGUAAAAUUCUUUCACCGGGGGACGAUAAUGACGGUACCCGGAGAAGAAGCCCCGGCUAACUUCGUGCCAGCAGCCGCGGUAAU